GACGAACGCUGGCGGCGUGCUUAACACAUGCAAGUCGAACGGAAAGGCCCUUCGGGGUACUCGAGUGGCGAACGGGUGAGUAACACGUGGGUGAUCUGCCCUGCACUUUGGGAUAAGCCUGGGAAACUGGGUCUAAUACCGAAUAGGACCGCAUGCUUCAUGGUGUGUGGUGGAAAGCUUUUGCGGUGUGGGAUGGGCCCGCGGCCUAUCAGCUUGUUGGUGGGGUAAUGGCCUACCAAGGCGACGACGGGUAGCCGGCCUGAGAGGGUGACCGGCCACACUGGGACUGAGAUACGGCCCAGACUCCUACGGGAGGCAGCAGUGGGGAAUAUUGCACAAUGGGCGCAAGCCUGAUGCAGCGACGCCGCGUGAGGGAUGACGGCCUUCGGGUUGUAAACCUCUUUCAGCAGGGACGAAGCGCAAGUGACGGUACCUGCAGAAGAAGGACCGGCCAACUACGUGCCAGCAGCCGCCGCAG
rnacentral:rRNA from 1 species